UACAGAGGGGCAAGCGUUGUUCGGAUUUACUGGGCGUAAAGGCGCGUAGGCGGCGCAACAAGUCACUUGUGAAAUCCCCGGGCUUAACCUGGGAACUGCAUUUGUGACUGCAUCGCUGGAGUGCGGCAGAGGGGGGAUGGAAUUCCGCGUGUAGCAGUGAAAUGCGUAGAUAUGCGGAGGAACACCGAUGGCGAAGGCAAUCCCCUGGGCCUGCCACUGACGCUCAUGCACGAAAGCGUGGGGAGCAAACAGG
rnacentral:rRNA from 1 species